AAGGGUAUAGCUCAGUGGUAUGAGUGCAUGCUUGGCAUGCAUGAGGCUCUAGAUUCAAUCCCCAGUACCUCCU
rnacentral:tRNA from 1 species